UGCAGGUGCAAGUGCAGGGAUAGCCGCUGGUCUCGGCGCAGGGGCCGCAGCGGGCUCCUUUAAUCCCACGUUGCCUGGAGCUGUUCCAAACAAUACCGUACCAAAAGGGUCAAGACUAGCCCCUGGUCCAAACGACGGUUAUGCCAUCGACCCAGUGACGGGGAGAGAGUACGUGUUCGACAAGAAGACAGGGAAGAGAUUUUGGUCUCCUUCGCCGGCAGAGAUUGCUGGUGGUGUCUGGUCAACGCCUCUAGUCACCAUCAAGGCUGCAAACAAAUUUAAAAAGAACGCAAACCUUAACUUCUAAAGUGGGUCGAGUAUCGUACCCUGGGGAACCCCCUUUGGCGUGUCUGGUCGUGAUAGCCGUAAACGAACUUGUACAUAAUUGCAGCCUUUCGAUGAUGUGAUUAUAUUUGUAAAUAUACAUAUCUAUGCCUCCAACUUGGAUCAUUCUAAAUGAGACCAAGACUUUGCUCACGCAUUUGUUACACGUAUUGGAUAUGGAACUAACUAAUAUAAACCAUAAAUGUAUUCUCAUGAGUGUAAACAUAAUACCUCCAUGGAUUAAUUUCUCGUCAGGACAAAAGUGAUGUAAGCAAGUACUUUUGUAGAAAGUAUUACUGACAUUUGUAAAUUUCAAUGUCUUACAUGUAUCUUCACGUAGUAUGCUGUUUUCCAGACUUGUUUGGAUGUGUUUAUUCUUAUAUUAAACUUAGAAAGUCA